AUUGAACGCUGGCGGCAUGCCUUACACAUGCAAGUCGAACGGUAACGGGCCUUCGGGUGCCGACGAGUGGCGAACGGGUGAGUAAUGCAUCGGAACGUACCUUUCAGUGGGGGAUAACGUAGCGAAAGUUACGCUAAUACCGCAUAUUCUGUGAGCAGGAAAGCAGGGGAUCGCAAGACCUUGCGCUGAUUGAGCGGCCGAUGUCAGAUUAGCUAGUUGGUGAGGUAAAGGCUCACCAAGGCGACGAUCUGUAGCGGGUCUGAGAGGAUGAUCCGCCACACUGGAACUGAGACACGGUCCAGACUCCUACGGGAGGCAGCAGUGGGGAAUUUUGGACAAUGGGGGCAACCCUGAUCCAGCCAUGCCGCGUGAGUGAAGAAGGCCUCGGUUGUUAAAGGUACUAC
rnacentral:rRNA from 1 species